rnacentral:rRNA from 1 species
GAUGAACGCUGGCGGCGUGCCUAAUACAUGCAAGUCGAGCGAACGGACAAGCUUGCUUCUCUGAUGUUAGCGGCAGACGGGUGAGUAACACGUGGAUAACCUACCUAUAAGACUGGGAUAACUUCGGGAAACCGUAGCUAAUACCGGAUAAUAUUUUGAACCGCAUGGUUCAAAAGUGAAAGACGGUCUUGCUGUCACUUAUAGAUGGAUCCGCGCUGCAUUAGCUAGUUGGUAAGGUAACGGCUUACCAAGGCAACGAUGCAUAGCCGACCUGAGAGGGUGAUCGGCCACACUGGAACUGAGACACGGUCCAGACUCCUACGGGAGGCAGCAGUAGGGAAUCUUCCGCAAUGGGCGAAAGCCUGACGGAGCAACGCCGCGUGAGUGAUGAAGGUCUUCGGAUCGUAAAACUCUGUUAUUAGGGAAGAACAUAUGUGUAAGUAACUGUGCACAUCUUGACGGUACCUAAUCAGAAAGCCACGGCUAACUACGUG